UUAACCAGAAGUGAUGUGAGUGCAUCUCCUUCACUAUGCUAAAUCAAAUAAGGGUCUGGCUAUGGCCUCAACUGCACAGAAAUUACAGCUAGAAUCAGUUCUUCCUGAGAUACACAGACACCUUCUAUUGACUUUGGGGAAGAUGCAUGGAUGUACGUUAAGGCUCAGUUGACUCCGAUAAUGUCCACCAGCGAUCGGACAGACAACAAAGCCCUGCACGACCACUUACCAACCACAUUAAGUCCAUAUGAGGGAAGUUUCCAGAAAGCCUAACAGCAGUGAAGGUGUCCGCCACUGAGGGGAACUAGUCACUGCUAAAGUGGAUGGAGUUUUUUGUAACAGGCAGAAUAAAAGCUUGGAAACCUGAGAGCCCAGCAGGCUUUUUCAGUGUUAUUUGCUCUGUUUCCUUCUGUUAUCUUAAUUGGGAUGGCUUGUACUGUUCCCAGUCAUGAUGAGAUACAUAAUAGCAAGGCCAGGUAGCAAUAUUACAUGUUUACUAGUAUGAAUGAUCAGAAACUGCUCUAUACAGAACAGAAGUUUGGCACACAAAACCGGUCUAUACCUCUAACAGAACAGAAGUUCAGCGCAUGUAAACUGGCUUAAAAAUGGCAGAACCCAGUUUAUGAUUUGCUGCCCCCCACCAAAGGGUGAACGUGUGCUCUCUUUGCUACUGAUCUAACCUAUGUCGCUUAUAGAAAACCGCAUAACUUAGAUCGAAUCCGCCUCGGGCUUUUUAAAUGCUUGUACCUAGCCUAAAUGCCAUCUAUUUGGAGCUCUAGUCUAGCCAUAUUCUGUUGUUUGAGGGAGGCAGGGGGUGUCCAUGGAUGCAACAAAUUUAUGUCAAUGUUGAGUAUACCCUUCUCCUACCAAACCUACCCAUUGCAAUGGCACAUACUGGGGUGGUGAAGGGCAGAACAAGGGUUUGGCCUUCUCUCCUUUCCCCUUCCCAUUCACUUGCUCUGUGGAGUGCAGGACCCAAAAUUCAUCUGGAGGAGGACAACCAUACAAACAGGACAGUCCCAUUUACUGCUCCGAGUAGCCUCAUUAGGACUAGUUGCAGCCUGGUUCUUACCUUGUAAACCUUGCAGGGCAGUGCUUUAUCUGUAUUUAAAGCACCAUGCACAUUUCUCCUGCUAUUUUCCUGGAGUAAUGAAGAACUAAAGCAAUAAUAAAUACACACAUUAAAAAAGUCUGCCUCUGGCAUACCUCUCCCUCUCUGCCUCACGGACAGCUGUCUUCAGGCAUCUGGGCACCUACCUCCUAAGCCUUGCAUAUUCAACUUUGUUAUCCUAAUGAGGAAACUUUUCCAGCCAGGCUCCACUCCUAUUAUAAUCUCCACAAUGAGGACUAGCACCUGGGGACAUUCCUGCCUGCUUAAGGAGAGAUUUUUUAAUCUCCAUAUACAGGACAGAUUCUUUUGAGGCCUGAACUAGCAGAAUAUCAGAUGGUCUAGUAGCAAAAACCAAUAACCCAAGGAAGAUUGAAAGAAUGGGAGGUGACCAGGAUGGAAGGAAAAGGUUAUAUAUUAUCUUGACCAGUGAGCACUCAUGAUUCCUUUUAGUCUCUUGGGUUCUCACCUAUGUACAUGUUAAAAGAUAUAUAUGGGUCUGAUACUUGUCUCAUGUAACUGCUGCUGCCAGGAAUUAUCCACAUUGUUCUAUGUUGUUUUAUAUUUUCAUUUUGAUUACCCGCUUUGUUCUUUAUUCCUUUUAGUUCAGUUUUACUGUACUUUCAUCACAGCUGGUUGGGUGGGUUUCUAACAUAGUAGUAACGCUUUGGGAGAAGCACAGUUUUAAAAAUACAUUUUCCAAACAUGCUUCAUUUACUCUCUCCCUCAGUAAUUUGAUUGGCAGAAAUCACAAGGCAAAAGCAGAACUUGUCAGUUAUUCCUCAGUUCUUAAUAUAGAAACAGUCACCUGCAUUUGACAGCACAGUUUGAAAGUGUCCUUCGUACUUGGAUAGCUGUGUGCACCUGAAGGCCUGUUCUCUGUGUGUUAGGAUUUACACAAAUUGGUUGCAAAUGCACAAAUGCACACACAUUCAAACAUCUUGAAAUGUUACCCCAUGAAAUUCAUAUGCCUGGGUGCUUGCACCUAUCUGCAGCGGUAACAUGUCUAGGGCUGCCUGUAAAAUGUACGUUGUAGAUGAUGGCAGUGAAAGCAGCAUGCAUAUUCUUCAUGACAAGCUGCAUUAACUUUGUCUCACAAAAUGGCCAAUGCCUUCGCAAACAGACUCUCAGGGCAUGUUUAUACCAUCAGAGAGUGCUGAAGUGAAGCACAGCAUAUCUGUGUUGCAUGCACUGUACUCUGGAAAGUGGUAGUGUAGCCUCCUUUAAUGCAGUGCUGGGCAAGUGCCAAAAGCUGUGUCUCAGGUGAGCUUGUUGUCAUGUAUUCAGACUUUCAGGGUGCUGUGUAUGCACAACAGGCAUGUUGUGCUUUGCUACAGCUCUUUUUAAUUUGGUCCUUUGAUUGUGAUAGACAUUUAAAGGGGUAUUGUACAGAAAAUUAAACUGUAAGGACAUAUACAGUAACAUUUCUGAACAUUCCAGUCACUCAGUCCAGGAAUCCUCCCAAUGUAGAGGCAUUCUUUGGAUGACAAAAGGCCAUUAAAACAGCUCUAUACUUGGUCUUAUUUUAGAUCCCAGUACGGGCAUGCAAGGGUGGAGGAGAAGUCUAUGCUCUGGCUUUUCUGGACUAUUAGUGGUUUCCUUUGGGGCUGUUGCAGCCUUAUUGGGGCCUGGAACUGUUUUCUUCAAAUUUAAGGUUAUGCAAGGGUGACAUAAACCUUCAUUUACUUCUUGUCCCACAGCUGUACCACAGCUCUUGAGUGUCAUAAGAUUAAGUCACUCUUAAGAUUAUACAGAGGCCCUAGGAUAUUCUAGAUGCAUACUGUUCACAGUGGCCUGUGUUAUCCAACACCCUCUCAUUUGGGUAGCUAAUCUGGUUUACAGAGGUGCUGAGCACUUACAAUGUGGGCUGAAUUUGAUGGGUGUUACAGGUACUCAGCCAUCCUGAAAAUUAGGCCCCAGGAGGUUGAAGCUGGGCAUUAAAAAUAAGUGACCACUUAGAAAAAUGAGGCCCUGUGUAAUCUAAAUAUUUAUUUUGCAGUAAAAGUCCUGCUAAGAAUUAACUUGGAAUUACUCUGUAUUCAGUGCUCAUGAAAGCUGCCAAGCUCCUGGAAAGGGGGUUCUUUAUUUUUCCACAGAACUGGUACAGCACAGAAAGAAGCUUUGCCUUUCUACUUAUCACUGGUAUGUCUCAAUUUGGACAUGGAAUAGCAAGACAACAGCUCAGCCUAUAUACGUGUUCACUCCUUGGCAUCUCCACUGACAAUGCCAACUGUAGCAGUGUUUUUGUGGUCAAUUGCAAAUGCCAGUCUACUGGGGAAUCGGGUGGUUUAUGGUAUACAAAUAAAAAAGAACAGAGCCAAAUUCAGCUGCAUUCAUAUUUCCUAGCAAAGGAAAUACUCACUGUAUUUGUUUUGCUUCCAAGAUUUGAAUAACAAAUGCAUUUCUCACUUCAUUUGGGGGGGAAAAUCAUGCCCACUGUAACCAGAAGCACCCCUUCUUAUUCUGCAGACUGCAGCUUUGAAACUUGAAAGCCAUUUUUUGGCUGUAGGCAGACAAGGUUCUUUAGGUAAAUGUGAUAUCUUGUAUUACACGAAAUAAAUAGUUAGAAAAAUUGUUCUUUGCAAGCUUUCGGGUACAAACACCCUUUUGGUUGUUGCACUCUGUGUGUGUUUUAUGUAAUUUAGCAGAGAGAGAUGCUUCAUGCUUGAACAUCUUGGCUGUUUCCUGUAAAAUGGCAAAACUCAUAAAUAAUAACAACAACAAAAAGUAGUUGAGGGAAAAGUAAAACUCAUUCAGACAUGGUUUUCAGGUGAAACAAUUUAACUGCAAUCUGGAGGCAAAUUCUUGGCCUUAGAAAAAUCCCUUACAAUCAGCCAUUCUGUUCUGGGCCAUGGGCUCUGGAAACCUACAUGAUAAUUCUUUUUUUGGAAUAUAUGACCCACAAGAAGAUUGCUGCUUUUAUUUAUUUAUUUAUUUAUUUAUUUAUUUCCAAGUGACUGUAUUGUCUGAGGUCUGCUUUUCCAAGGCUUAAAUAUAUCUUUUGGAAAGCUUGUGGCUAUAUAGGGGUUCUUGGUUAGUUGAGCUCUAUGACAAAAAGCAGCAUUUUAUAAAAUGCCAAGGAGUGAACAACAUGAUAAGUUUUGGCUCAGGAGAUGAAUUAAUUAAAAAUGUGUCAGCAUCCUCCAGUCACACAUUUCAUUUGCCAAAGCCAAAAUCCCAGUGUUCCUUAUUGACUGCCUACCCCUUCAGGAUCCUCCCACAUUUUUCAGACAUGGGGUAUUUGAAGUACAAAGAUUUAAUUCUCACAUGGAAUAUGGCUCCAUCAGCUCAUAGGCUUUGUGAGACAGGGGCUCUUCAGUAAUGAAUUGGAAGAUUCUCUGGCUUCUUCCUUUCCACAAGUUCAUGUGCUAGUGAUCUAUGCACCUGAAUCACUUCCAUGCCCCAUCUCCUUUGGGAGUUAUCUAAUCCUCCCACUGCGCAAUGGGUCCUUCUGUCUAGAUUCAGCACUUUCUCAUGGAGGGUUUUGAUUAGCCCACCUCUGUCUUGGUAUUGUGCAGCCUAGAUUCAGUCUUUCCAUGCAAGAGCCAGUCUUUUCACUCUGGGAACUCCUUCAGUCACUGCAGGGGCAGCUGAAUUGUUCCCACAGUACAUUUAAUGCAAGCCAUGUUCUCUGGCAUUGCUCUGACAUGUUCCCUUCAUCUCCUGCCUUAUGCCUAGUCACAUGGCUGGGCUUCCAUUCAGAAAUGUUUGGGGGCAGCUACUAGUCUCAGGCUUCUUUGUGAUUUUUGCUGUGUCCAAGGUGUGUAUGAAGGUUUGUCUUCUUAUGAGCGAGGACACCUUUAGGAACACUGUAGAAGCUUUAAUCAUUACAUUUUUAAGCAUUUCCAAACCUCCAAUCUGGAGUCUGUUGUAUCAUAGUGUGACUGAAGACAUAUCCUGGAAAAGCUUUGUGUUACCACAAUUUCAAUGCAGCCCAUAGUGUUGUGGCUUAAUGCUACACUAUCCAGAUAUUAUUUUGAUUUCCCACAAUGGUGGGUCAGAAAGAUUAAAAAAAAAAUAAAUGGAUCCACAAAGGAGACUUAGGUGCCUCACUACUGAGUGGUGCAGGACCUAACUGUUAGGUAUCUUGCUGCCUAGGGGAAUCCAUAGUCUUGAAUUAGGUCUGUAGGCUCCCUAUAGAAAGUGUGGGAAAAGUUCAGGACUUCAGAAUUGGCUGUGCAGACAGCUUCCUAAGCUAGCCAAUAGGAAAUGCAAGGCUGUCUAUAGACAUGCUGGUUUGCAUUCUAAUUAGAGCAAGUUGGAGCAGACUUGAUUAACCUAAUUAAUGUAUUAAUGAGAAUGCUCCAGCAUCGCCUCAUCAUUACGUGUAUUAAGCCCCCUGCAUUUCAAAAUGGCCACAGGGGUGCUUUAACUAAACCUUGCUGAAUGAGCUUUAGUUAAAGUAUGCCCAUGGCCAUUUUGAAAGGCACAGGGGGAAGAGAGGGCUUAAUACACAUGACAAUGAGGCAUUUUAAUUAGAGCAGCUCUUUGGGUACCACUUCAGUUAAAGCACCUCCAAGCAUGUGUAUAGGCAGCCUAAGUGACAGGGGUGUUUCUGAAACCUCACUCCUCUCUGGAACCUAGGUAUUUAUCUUCCUUUGGGUUAGGAGAAAGUCUCCCUUCAUAUAGCUUCAAACCUUCUCCUGGAUUUUUACCUAAGCCUCUUUUCCCCCAAAAGCUGAGGUGGAGGUCAAGCCUUACUUUCAAAAGACACUAUGGAGGAUUCUGGGGGGUGGCUGUGCCUUCAGCACCCCUUGUUGAAGCUACUUUGCAUGAAAUAAAUAUUCAUUGAGCCUGACUGAGUGAGCCAGCACGAUUACAGCUGAAUUAGUAACUAGGGUACUCUCCUAGAAGGUUGGAAAUGUAGGUUCAAAACUUCCCUGACAUAAGAGGAAAUUGAACCCAGGUCUUGCUGUUCCUCAGUGAGCACUUUUAUCACAGACCUAGUAGAUUGGGGAAGGGUGGGGGGGCAGCAUCACCCCCUGGAGUUUUUGUAGGCAGUCCUGAUCUUAUUGCAUACCAGAUUCAGCUUUGCAGGCAGGACAGGCAGGAGAGCAGCAUUAAGCUGCUGCCUUUGCAAGACUGAGGCACUUCCGGGCUUGCCCAAAAGUAGAUUCUUAGCUCAGGCAACUUUAAUGUUGAAAACUCAGGCACCUAUUUAGUUCUGGCACCUCCAGGGCAAGGCAGUAGCUGAGCAGGGGCUUUGACGAUGAUAAUUUGGGAUUUGGCCUCUAGAUUGGCAGUUACAUAUGUAACUCUCCUUGUGGAUUUUGUUGUUUGGCUGUGAGUUUCGUGCUCUGACCCCUUAAUCAGGCAAUUUUGUUCUUACUUCAAUCUGUUGCCUGUAAGUGUUUCCGUUGGUGUAGUUUUUGAUUGGAAGGCUUCAAAUCUGGGCAUCUGAAUCAGGACCACAAUACAGAUUCUUGGCAUAAAUUCUAGCAGCAUAGAAGUGCUACACAGCUGGUGUGGGGGAAUUGUCCAGCGGAGGCACUGCAGUGGGUAGUAAAAAAUCUUCCUCUGGCCCCUGUUCUAGGGGCAAGUUGGGUGUGAGCCCAGGGAAAGGGAGAAGAGGGCUUGACUGAGGCACUACUCUGCCCUUGAACUUCUCAGCUGGUGUAAUAUCCCCCUGUGGCUCUUUAUUAUCCAGCCUAAAGUAGAUCAGCCCUCAGAGCCAAUUACACCUGGGGGCUGCUCUAAUUUAUAAAAGAGGCUGAUGCCCAUCCACCAAUUUGGGGGAUUGAGGAGCUGCUAGUGUGGUAUAUAGCUGCUUUUUUUCUUUCUCUUCCCCUUCCUCUCCUCCAAGUUGUGUGUUAAGCAGAGCUCAUUGGACUCAAUGUUCAGAGCCAAUGAAUUUAACACACUGAAGAAACUGCAGCACUAAGACACAUUGUGGGAACGGUGACUGGGGACAACAUAACUUUAAGUCAGACUGUGAUGAGGCUCAUCAUUCAAGGGUGAGUAUGGGGCAUGCCCCAGAUCUUAACUUUAGCUGGAGAGCAGAGUCUGAAUUCAGGCAAUGUGGGGGAUUUUCACUGGUUUGUCCUCUUUAGAAUGAGUGGAAAAAAAAAUAGAGAUUUAAAACAACACUCUACCCACAGCUGGGUCAAUAACAGCUCAUCCUCACCCACCACUGUUGCUGUGGGCAGUGAUUCACUGGAGGGAGAAAGCUGCAUAGACUGAAAAGGCUGAUGGAUCCUUUCUCCCAAGGCCAGUGGUUUUUGAGCAAGUCAUGGAAGUGGUGAGGUCAGGCUCCUUGAUAGGCUCCGGCCCCUGCCAGCUGGACUACAAACAACAGUGGUGUCAGUUAAGGGGCAGGUGCUCAUUUGCUUUCCUAGCCAGCAAAAAUGUGUUUAGAUGGAGGCACUAGUGAGCCAUGAGGGAAGGGAGGGAAAAGGAUGGAAGCUCAAUGGGAAAGGAAAUCAGAACAGUUAAGUGUUUCUAAGUUUCAGAGUGGUGCUCAUUUCAGCCUCAGAAAUCAAGCCACAGGAUGUCAGUGCAGCCUGCGAGAAUGCCAAGAUUUCUGACAGGAGUACAUUGGAAGAUUUUAUCUCAAGAGCCCAGAGGAAGAUUUUUUUUUCCCUAGAACAUCAUCUGUCUUAGGGAUCUCACAUCAGGGUGGGCAAAACAAAGAGCAGGCAGCUGUUAGAGGUGGAUGCUGAUUGGUAAGAAAUGUACAUGGGGCUGGGACCCAAUGCCAGGGAAACUUUGAAACAUGCACAGAUGAUACAGGUAAAAUGGGCAUUAGUGAUGUUUGUCCAGAACAACAAAUAUAAUCCUGGUAAAAUUAAAGGAACAUACAUGGAACUUAGUUCUAUCUCUGCUGUAGAAUCAUAGAAAAGUAGGGUUGGAAGGGACCUCAGGAGGUCACAUCUAGUCCAACCCCCUGCUCAAAGCAGGACCAUCCCCAACUAGAUCAUCCCAGCCAAGGCUUUGUGUAGCCAAGUCUUAAAAACCUUGAAGGAUGGAGAUUUCACCACCUCUCUGGGUAACCUGCUUCAGUGUUUUACUACCCUAUGAGUGUAGCCCUUUUGCUGCCUUCCACUGGAGUCUCUCCAAUUUGUCCACAUCCUUUCUGUAGUGGGGGCUCCAAAACUGAACACAGUACUCCAGAUGUGGCCUCACCAGUGCUGAAUAGAGGGGAAGAAUCACUUCCCUGGACCUACUGGUAACACAUCUACAUUGGUAACACAUCUACCAAUGCAACCCAGUAUGCAGUUAGCCUUCUUGGCAACAAGGGUACAUGUUGGCUAAUAUUUAGCUUAUUGUCCACUGUAACCCCCAGGUCCUUUCCUGCAGAGCUGCUGUCCAGCCAGUCAGCCCCCAGCCUGUACUGGUGCAUGGGAUUAUUCCGUCCUAAGUGCAGGACUUUACACUUGUCCUUGUUGAACCUCAUGAUAUUUCUUUUUGGCCCAAUGCUCCAAUCUGUUUAAAUCACUCUGAAUCCUAGCCCUACCCUCCAGCAUAUCUACUACUCCCCACAACUUUGUGUCAUCUGCAAACAUCUUCCAGGUCAUUGAUGAAGACAUUGAAGAAAACUGGCCCCAGGACUGACCCCUGGGGCACUCUGAUUGAUACCAGCUGCCAACUAGACAUCAAGCCAUUGAUUACUACCCUCUGAAUCUGAUGCUUCAGCCAGUUUUCUAUCCACCUUACAGUCCAUUCAUCCAGCCAUACUUCCUGAGCUUGCUGAGAGAAUGCUGUGGGAGACUGUAUCAAAAGCCUUGCUAAAAUGCAGGUAUACCACAUCCGCUGGGCUCCCCACAUCCACAGAGUCAGUCAUCUCAUCAUAGAAGGCAAUCAGGUUGGUCAGGCAUGACUUGACAUGCCAUCCUAUCUGCAAAAGUCAGCAAAGAGAAAAGAUUCCCACUCUAGAAAUAUACAAUAUCAAUUGUUUCCUGUUGCAAUACAAAAGGGAUCAGAUGGAUUCAGAUGUGCAGAGGUGAAGAACACAUGUCCACUGUUUAUUUUUCUCUAAUCAAAUAGCCGUCCCAACCCCUAUUCUUAAUACAUCUUGGGUUUUUUAGGGUUUUUUUUACAAUUCCUGUAGUUCUUCUUGGCUAUGAAUAUGGGCGCAUCUUCUGGAAGAGGUGAAACAACCUUUAAUUUUAAAGGAAAGAAAGACGAGGUUAAUAGUUUCUUGCAGAACUCAGCCAAAAGAAUAUGGACUAAGGAGUCCUCUUACAGUGAUUCAACAGGAAAUGCCUAAUGACCAUGGGUGGGAACCAAUUUCUAGGGUAUAAAAUACAUGUUUCUUUGGAAACUGAAAGUUCAGCUUUUCAGUCCUUUCUGGGAUGUGGGGGCUUUCCUAGAUAAGCUUCAAUCCAACCUGGCAGUUGCAGCUGAUUGAUAAUCAGCAGAAAAUUAUUUAUAUUGAUCUGCUUUCCACAGAGUCAGCUGCACUUUUGUAUAAAGGAUGGAGGAGAUUUUUGUUUUUGCAGUCACACAUCAAGUUUUCUAGUAUCUGGAAGAUACUGUAAGUUACAUUAGGCAUAUCUCCAUCUGAUCUUUUGCUGGCUACUUUGCUUAAAACCUAUAAAGUGCAUGCAAGAGUUGUGGCUUUUGAAAUGAAUCCCUCAGAGCCCUGCAGAAUUGAUGAAGGCUGCAGUGAAACAGAGAAGAAUUAGGACUAUGCUGUUUGGAAUUAGAAAAUGAAUGAUUUAUUUGUGUUGCAUAACAGAAGCAGAUCUCCUUUGUGCUUCCUGCCUCUGUGCACUUCUCCUAUCCACGCACCCAGCCUGUUGGCUACUUCCUCCUCUUCCACAUCAUGUCUGUCCCACCUUGUAGCCCUCUAUCACAAUGUCAUUCAUCAUUCGCCCCUGCGGAUUCCAGUCAGUGGGCUUCCUCGCCUUGUAGCCUGUGAAUAUGCAAAACAGGGACAUGGAUAGUACCAGAGUCUCACUGCCCUCAGUUCUUGCUCAGUAUGCCAUGCUGGCCUCCAGCUGCAGGAGAAGCAUCUAUGGUAAGAAUCCUGCUCAACCCUUCAGCCUGUGGGGUCUAGCCUGGUUACAUACAGGAGUUGUGAGGAGCUGGCACAUGCACAGAGGAGACAGAGGAAUAACAGGGCAGUUUCAUUUUCUGGGUGGUGGCAGAACAUGGGGCAGCAGCAGCGACUGGCCUGCCACUGAUGGUGGUACUGGCAACCAGUUGACGGCUGUGGCAUGUGCUAUUUUUGUGCUUCUCCCCUAAGCAUGAAUGCCAUAUGCCCCCGGAGGCUGGGUGGGCACGGUGACCUCCCGCAGGCAGGAGUAUGGUGGCGGUAGGUGGGGAGCUUCUGCAGGCAGCUGCGGCACUGUCAGCGAUGGGGGAGGCGGCGGUAGCCAGUGGUGAUUGUGGACCACCCGCAGAGGCCGCUGGCAGUGUUGACGGGAUGGGGGGGUGGCGAGCGGCAACUGCCAGGGCUAAAUGGACUUCAGGGGACUCAUGGCCACCCCUGGAGGUGGCACCCUAUUACAAUCAGCAAAAAGUGCAUUCCAGAUACAAUGACCUUCCCUCACUAACUUUCAAGUCCAGCACAUGGACAUGAAAAAUGCUAGUUUUCAUUUAAAUACUUGUGUGAAUAUUUUAAAAAAUAUGGUCCAAACAGUGUAUUGUCCCUACUCUUAGAAAUAGCUGAGCUCUUUUAGCAGAAGCUUCCCUGAAACAUUCAGGCUGAAGUCAGCAUCCAGUAUGUAACAUUUCAGUCUCUCAAAUGCUUAAGGUCUGGCCAAAUUAUAUGCAACUGAAAGGUGGGUCUGAUAAAAGGCGGUGUUGGACAACCUGAAUAAUAAACACUACUGACAACUCCUUUUGUAAUACAGGAGUUAAUUUGUCUGCCAUUGAAAUAUAGCUGCCUCUGAAAUGGAUCUGCCAGUUGGUUUAAUUAGCCAAAGCAACAAUGCACAAGUGCUUAGAAUGCAAAAUGAAACAGAACGUCGUAUCUAAUGUAAAACACAGGUAUGGAUAGGAAGACAAGAUGUGAAAGACAUCAGUUCUGGUUCUGGCACAGCAAGAUAGAAAUCCAGGCUACAGUUUACUCUACAGUACGUGGAAGGUGGCUAGGAGGGAAGGAAGAUCUGGUUAACGUACCUGAUACUUAUGGCCACAAGAGGGUAUAAUUUGGGGUUGUGAGGAAUAACCAACAUGAGUCCCUCUGUAGGCAUACUGCCAGUAGCAGCAAGGGUCAAAGGGAUAAUAUUGAUCCUUUAUGGAGCAGACUUACAGUACUGGAUCUCCUGAGCCAUCCUACUACAAACCAAUUAAAUGAUUUGGGGACAUGUAGGACACUGUGGAAAGGCUCAUGUGUUGGGUGUUUCCUUAACUAGUUUGCAAUUCAAAGGACGCAGUAUAAGCUGGGAGAAAAAAGCUAAAUACAGAAUUCAAUUAAGUCUCUAUCUACAAUAGUUUCUGUAUUACAGAUGCCUUGGGAACAGGGCUUAUGAGGCCUAGGGCAGAAGACAAUGGCAUGUCUAUUCACAAGAAUGUAUAAAUAUUGUUUAACAUUUCCAAGCAGGUGAGUUCAUAAGUUAACAUGACUGAUUGUGGACUGGCUUAUUCGUUAGCUUAAUAUUCAGGAAAGGGAGCAAUUACCAUAGCAACACUCACAUCUUCUGACACAUAUCAUGCAGAUCAUGCAGUCAAGGAAACACAACACACUUUCGCAUACAUACCCUAUGAACUUUUGUAUUUUUGAUAAUAUUAAAGAGAAGAUAUGUCUCCUGAUUGACACAUUUGCCUGUGGUUUUUUUAUUACUCCUUUUAAAAAUAAUAAAAAAUCCUUCUUCUCCCCUACCUGCUUCUUCAAACUGUUUUCUCUCCAUCCCACUGAAAUGUUGAAAACAGCUCAUGCCUCCCCCGGAUCUGCGGAUAUAUGUUCCUGACAGUAAUCCUACGCUAUGCAAAUGUGUAACUGCAAAAUGCAGGGUUUUUUUUUUUUAAUUUAAGUACAUCCAGUGGAGUCUAAAUUCUGAGUACAAGUACUAAGGGGAAUAAAAAUCUGCCAGUGCCUGCAUAAUUAUUGUUCUGUUGAGCAAAACCUUACUUCUUUGUUCUUUUAGUUAAUCUUCCACCUCCAAAUAUUUCUACCAACCUUCUCCAUUAUAUAUGCAAGGAACAGUUUUUAUUGUCUUUCUUCCUUUCUGUCUUUUACUCUGUCUCUGCAUAAAUCUCUCUUUGCCCAAUAUAUUUCAAAUGUGUAGCCCUAAUUCUUUUUCCAGGGUGCCGUUAAUUUUAGCUUUCAAAUGCAGACUUGAUAGACUGGAGGAAAAGGACAUGCUCCAUCAACCUCUUGCCCCAGAUGUCUUUGAUCCUGACUGAUUAGGCUAAUGUAAGGUGAGAUUUUGGAUUUUUCUUGUUGUGCUGCAGCUUCUCUGAGCAUGAGUGAUGGAGCCCUUAGCCACCCUCCAGCUUUGAUAAAGAUUUCAAGUGCCAAGAGCCCGCAAACCCCAUUGCAGUUGAGCAUCUUGCAUGAUCUCUCCAUUAUUUAUAGUAGUUGUGGUGAGUGGCAUGCUAUAAUGAUACAAAGGAAUCUUUUGGCACAAAUCUUUGUGGCUGGGCGGUUUCGUAAAAGUCAAAGGGUCAUCAGAGUGGAUGAUGCAUGGGGCCUGAUUUGUAAUAAUUCAUAGUUCUUUUUCAAAACCUAUUUUACACAAAUAGGUCCAAACAGAUGGUAUGGUUACCAUCUGGGCAUGUCUACGCAAGAUGCCAAAUGCACAGUGGAUUGAUGCUACUGGGCAUUAGCAUGGUAGGCAAAACCUGUGCUAAUGCACUAAUGCACAGUAGCAUUAAUCUACUGUGCAUUAGCAUCACAAAAAAAGUGUGCACCGGUACUAUUGUGCAGUAGCGCUGAUUAUAGUGCAUUAAAAGUCAGUACCUGUUACUAACUUCAUGUGCCGUAAUUACGGCAUAUUAAUGCAUGUGUAGAUGUGCCCUCUGAAUACAAUGGUGCAAUUGUAACUUCAUAUCAGCCUUAGGCAAUUUUUAUACAGCUCAUGUGCUGAGGGCAAUCUUACCGCAGUGACAGCCUUGAAAGUCUUAAUUGCCUUUUUGAAUAAAAAAGAACAUAUUUGAUAGCUGCUCAUUGACAGGAAUACACAAUUUCAGUCAAAAUCAGUAUUAGUUCUGGCCCUGCCCCCUAACCCCACUGGGGCAGAAACUGUCCCCUACUGUUUACCCAGAGAAUAGUAAAUGGAAGAUGCAGAAAAAGCCAUCACAGGCUAAAUCUCAAGGUCCCUCGCAUGUCCUCAUGGGCAGUAACUGUCACACUGAACUACAUACCUUCUGCUUUGGCCUGUUCCUCCUGACUAUCUUCUCCCCUUGGGUGCUCAGUGAGUCAGCUUCAAGAGGAAUGCCAGAAAUGUAGUCUAGGCAAUACCUGGCCCAUGGCCUGGUGGUUAGGACAAAUUGCCGUGAAAUGGGAGACUGAAGUUCAAACACUUCUGGAUAAGUAAUUCUUCAGGCCAGUGGCCUUAAUUUCUAGGCUUAGAUAAGAGGGCUGUCUUUGUCAUCUAGCUAUGGUAGUGUUGGAGUUGUGCUGGUACAGGAAAUAUGCAACCAAUGACCAUUUCUAUGGGUGAUACCUUUCACUGAACCAACUGCAUGGUUGAGAUGCAGUGGGUCCAAUACUGUCCUAAAGUUCUGUGACUUACAUGGUAUUGAGCACAUACCCCAAUAAUUCUGUUCUGUCCUAGACCAGGCAUGGAGCAGCUUUCUUAGUGUGCUUAUAGGGGAAAUGCAGGAUGGACUUAGUUAUACAAGUGCCAAAUAUUGCACUUAUAUAAUUAUGUAAGAGCCACUUUGGCAUAUAAAGUUGAAAUAGGAUUUAGGCAAUUGUUGACAAGGACCUUGGUUGAUUUGAAGGGUGGACAGGUCUUGUGGUUAACCAGAGAAUGGUUCAGCAGUCUCUAGAUACAGCAGUUGUCUAGAUACAGUUAUGGCAUUGUAUAUAGAUGAGAACCUAGCACCUGCCAUGCCAGUUCAGAUUGAUUCCUGUUCCUAAGGAGAAUAGAACUCCAUUAGUUAAAAAAUAACUUAAAGGCCUGGAACAUAUAAGCACAGACUAGCUCCAAAAUAUAUGUCCCAUGUGCUUUUAAAAAAUGAUAUUUAUUGUUAUGACUGGCCCUAUUCCUGGAGGGGAAGCCUGGAGACACUUGCUGCUGUUGCAGCUGGAGCGAUAUGGGGAAGAAGUGGUUGAACAGAAGCCUGAGGGCUGCAACCUAACUCCUGGUGGGCUGCUUCCAGCGCACCAGAGGUCACCAGUUGGACACCCCUGACCUAUGCCACAGGACUGUUUCAUUCUCUGGUGACUGAUAUGUACAAUAAUGACAGAAAGGGACUAAUAAACUACAAUGGUUGACAUAAGAAUUUUGACAGACUGGACUUCCUCUUGCAUGUGAAGUCCUUCUGUGUCAUUACCCAGGACUGAUCUAAAGUUUGGGCCAAUACAGACAGGAUAUUGGACUCAAAUGAAGGAGGAUAGAGACUCCUUCAGUGUCUCUGCAGCCUUGCCACCUGUGGCAAGUGCAGGCAGGACCUUUAUUUUUGAAAGACCUUACAAAUGUGCUAGACUUAAUGCCACCAUGGACUGAACAGUGGAUUGAGACCACCAUUAUCUUUUAAUAUUGUCUCUAAACCUGCUCUGACACUAGAGGAAGAUUUUAAGUAAAAUACACUGCUAUAUAUAAGCUCUGUAAUCAUGUGUGUAUCAUCCUUGUCCUACCUUUUCCAGCCAUUGCUAGACUUGCAUUAAUAAUCCACUCCUGUGUGCCACUGUAAACCACUUCCCAUUUGUUUAUAUUUGUCACCCUUUGCUUGGACCCUGCCUUGGACUGCGAGUGCCUAGAAGGAAAGGAAGGAGAAUAUCCUGGAGGUUUUAUUUUGCCCACAAGUCAAGGUGCAUCUGACAUUGCCUGUGCUCCAGUCCUGCUAUAGGAUUAGAGGUUCUAACAGAGGUUGGUCCUAAACAGGCAAUCAUUGCUCAUCAGUCUUGUCAUGUUCUCUAUAACCACCACAACAAUCAUGAGCUAUUGUCUUACUCAGCAGAGAUGAUGUUGUUUAUUUUGCUCUGUUCUUGCUCACCCAUUUCUACUUCUCCUCCCCAGGUUGGUUCUGGGAAUCCUAGACAAAGCUGGAUGAGUUGUGGAUGGAAGCAAUUAGCAUUUGCCAUGCCCCGGCUGAGACUGCUCUGGCCUGCACCAGUGCUGGUUUCCACUCUUCCUCUAAAUCCUUGAUGCUGAGUUGCCUAAACACAUUGCCUGAGACCCAGAGGAGUCGACGGUGUCCACAGGCAUUGUGUUUGGAGUGGUGCACAGCACCUAGUCCAGCUCCUUAGAUAAUAGGGAAGGAACAUGGGAUUUACAGGUUCUUCAAGGAUAUCUUUCCUGGCACUCCAAUCUGGUGGAGUCUUUCCUCAACUAACUUUGCUGGCUUCACAAUAUGAAUCCAAAAGCACUUCAGUGUCAAAGGGAGGAUCCUUCCCCAGAUAUCAUCACCAAAUAGUAGCAUCAGGAUGGCUGAGUGGUUGAGGUGUUAGACUUAAGAUCUAAUGGACGUAUACCUGCAUGGGUUCAAACCUCACUCCUGGUAGCUGCUGUUUUUUUAAAGUUAGACAUCAGGAAGAACUUCUUUACAGUAAGGGUUGUUAGAAUCAGGAAUGGGCUUCCAAGGGAGGUGGUGCUCUCCCAUACCUCAAGGGUCUUUAAGAGGAGGCUAGACAUGCACCUGGUUGGGGUCAUGUAACCCCUGUGCUCUUUCCUGCCCAGGGCAGGGGGUCGGAUUCGAUGAUCUGCUGAGGUCCCCUCCAACCCAAACAUCUAUGAAUCUAUGAAAACACAACAGGAGUGAUUUACAAAUGUUACAGAAAUAUGUAAGCAGAGGCCACAGCAGACUAUUAAUGUUGGCUGGAAAUCAUGUGGCCUGGAAUGAGGGAUUGGUUAGUAGGCACCACAAGGACUCCAAUGGAUAUUUUGGAAAGACACUGGGGGACUAUAAGUGCUUAUAUAUAACUGUUGCUUCAUCCACAGAGCACACAGGACCUGAAGCACCUUCAGUACUUGAUAUGCAACUUAUGGCCAAUGUGUUUUAAAAGAACCCAACUUUGUGCUACAUGUUUCUGUGUGUGGAUAGAAGUCAGAUUAAGGGCAUCACGUGAGUUAUAGCUCAGGUUAACUUUGCCACCAGACUGAGGUGCAGCAUUGGGGAGAGCUCCCUUUGCCAGAGCCCCAGGUAGCUGGCUGUGGCAUCUCUCAGGGAGAGCUUCUUUCCCCCAGAGUACUGCUGGUGCAGCACAGAAAGAGCCCUAUGCUGGAAAGAGCCUGGUGUCACUGAAUGCAACAGAAGCCACAGCUCUGGAGGCUGGAUCCAGCCCGCAGGGUGUAGGUAGCUGACCCCUGCUCUAUAUAAGUGUUUCUGGCUAAAUAAUAGCACCAGAACAGAGCACCUAACUCUCUAACUCCAUUAUAUCAACCAAGUGUAAACAUAAAAGCAAAAUUGUGACCGUUAACAACUCUUUACUGCACAAAAUAAAUCAACCAAGAAUACUGAAUUUGGAAACCUGCUCAGGGAACCUUCCGCUUGCAGAGCUAAAAUUCUGGAAAAAUGCAGAACAUAAAUUUUGCCUGAGUGGCUUUAUCAAAGCCAAUUGAUGUAUCCUGUGCAUGUAAUGUCACACAUCCAACCUAAAUGUAUCUCAAGAAGUACACUGAAUGAAUAAAAGAAACAAAACGUACUACCCAUUGUAACAGUAGAGGUAAUAUAGAUGUAAAUAAUCUUAGGUUUGCAGUCGCUGAUUCUUUUUUAUUUUAACUAUGUACUAGCGCACAUUUAACGCGUACCAGUAUUUUAUUAUUUACCUAGAAAAGGACAGAUUUGAAGUUGUACCAGUGUACUUGAGACCAGAAUGUGCUUGUAACUUUAAUACAUCUUAUAUACACAAAUUCAGUGGGUUCUAUUUGUGUCAGAAAAGUAAACACAUAUUGUAUCUUAUUUCUGACUUUCCCACAAUAUUCCCUUUAUUUAGUCCAUGCACCACAGAGGUAGAAUUUUUAUGCAUCAUCAUGGUAAAUCUUUUCCUUUUAAUAUGCAUACUAUAUAUAAAAUUCUGAAUGUGGAAGCCAUGGCUAGGUCCAAUAUGAAUUUUAUGAAAAAGCUGCCAUUUUACUAUUGUAUUAUUUUGUUUGGUUUUCAAACACAGCUGGACAAAAAGAUUUCUGGCUUAUUUUCUUCAUUUCUACCAUGGCAUUUAUUGUGCUGAGGCUCAAAACCCUUUACAACUGUGGUUUGAAAAAGAAAAGGGCACUUAAGGGAAUAAGACAACAGCUUUCUCCUAUGGUUAAUUUAAAAUCAAUUGAUUUCCAUCUGUUGCUUGAACUAAACAGUGUGUACCACGGAUAAAAAUAAAACUGCUUAUUUUGGGAAAAUAUAUACAUUUCCACGAACAGCAAAUACAUAUAUGUGUGUGUAUGUAUGUAUGUAUUUAUUUAUUUAUAUAAAUAGUUAUUUAUUUA